rnacentral:rRNA from 1 species
UACGGAGGGAGCUAGCGUUGUUCGGAUAUACUGGGCGUAAAGCGCACGUAGGCGGCGCAGCAAGUCAGGGGUGAAAUCCCGGAGCUCAACUCCGGAACUGCCUUUGAAACUGCAGUGCUAGAAUCCUGGAGAGGCGAGUGGAAUUCCGAGUGUAGAGGUGAAAUUCGUAGAUAUUCGGAAGAACACCAGUGGCGAAGGCGACUUACUGGACACAUAUUGACGCUGAGGUGCGAAAGCGUGGGGAGCAAACAGG